AGAUUGAACGCUGGCGGCAGGCCUAACACAUGCAAGUCGAGCGGUAGAGAGGUGCUUGCACCUCUUGAGAGCGGCGGACGGGUGAGUAAUGCCUAGGAAUCUGCCUAGUGGUGGGGGAUAACGUUCGGAAA
rnacentral:rRNA from 1 species